rnacentral:rRNA from 1 species
UACGGGGGGAGCAAGCGUUGUUCGGAUUUACUGGGCGUAAAGGGCGCGUAGGCGGUAGCACAAGUCAGUUGUGAAAUCUCCGGGCUUAACUCGGAAAGGUCAACUGAUACUGUGCGACUAGAGUGCAGAAGGGGCAACUGGAAUUCUCGGUGUAGCGGUGAAAUGCGUAGAUAUCGAGAGGAACACCUGCGGCGAAGGCGGGUGCUGGGCUGACACUGACGC